rnacentral:misc_RNA from 1 species
AGCAGCCGCGGUAAUUCCAGCUCCAAUAGCGUAUAUUAAAGUUGUUGCAGUUAAAAGCUCGUAGUUGAAUUUCGGGAUUGGCGCAUCGGUCGUGCCUCACGGGGUAUGAACUGGUGCAGUCAAUUUCUCACCUUCUGGAGAACCGCGAUGUCCUUAAUUGGAUGCCGCGGGGAACCAGGACCUUUACUUUGAAAAAUUAGAGUGUUUAAAGCAGGCAUUUUGCUUGAAUACAUUAGCAUGGAAUAAUAAAAUAGGACGGCAUGGUUCUAUUUUGUUGGUUUCUAGGACCACCGUAACGAUUAAUAGGGAUAGUUGGGGGCAUUAGUAUUCAAUUGUCAGAGGUGAAAUUCUUGGAUUUAUUGAAGACUAACUACUGCGAAAGCAUUUGCCAAGGAUGUUUUCAUUAAUCAAGAACGAAAGUUAGGGAUCGAAGACGAUCAGAUACCGUCGUAGUCUUAACCAUAAACUAUGCCGACUAGGGAUCGGAUGAUGUUAAUUUUUAAUGUACUCAUUCGGCGUC